rnacentral:rRNA from 1 species
GAGUGAAAAAGAACCUGAAACCGUGUACGUACAAGCAGUGGGAGCCCCACCACUAAGCCAGUGGUGAACUCCACAUACGCAUCCUUUGCUGAGGAUACGGUUAACGGAGCGAAAGCGACGUUCAACCUCAAAAGAAGCAGAGGGGGCUUAGUGGUGGGGUGACUGCGUACCUUUUGUAUAAUGGGUCAGCGACUUAUAUUCUGUAGCAAGGUUAACCGAAUAGGGGAGCCGGAGGGAAACCGAGUCUUAAUUGGGCGUUAAGUUGCAGGGUAUAGACCCGAAACCCGGUGAUCUAGCCAUGGGCAGGUUGAAGGUUGGGUAACACUAACUGGAGGACCGAACCGACUAAUGUUGAAAAAUUAGCGGAUGACCUGUGGCUGGGGGUGAAAGGCCAAUCAAACCGGGAGAUAGCUGGUUCUCCCCGAAAGCUAUUUAGGUAGCGCCUCGUGAAUUCAUCUCCGGGGGUAGAGCACUGUUUCGGCUAGGGGGCCAUCCCGGCUUACCAACCCGAUGCAAACUGCGAAUACCGGAGAAUGUUAUCACGGGAGACACACGGCGGGUGCUAACGUCCGUCGUGAAGAGGGAAACAACCCAGACCGCCAGCUAAGGUCCCAAAGUCAUGGUUAAGUGGGAAACGAUGUGGGAAGGCCCAGACAGCCAGGAUGUUGGCUUAGAAGCAGCCAUCAUUUAAAGAAAGCGUAAUAGCUCACUGGUCGAGUCGGCCUGCGCGGAAGAUGUAACGGGGCUAAACCAUGCAC